AAACCGGAUUAGAUACCCGGGUAGUCCCGGCCGUAAACGAUGGGCGCUAGGCGUUGUCCCGGAAGGGGCAGUGCCGAAGCUAACGCGUUAAGCGCCCCGCCUGGGGAGUACGGCCGCAAGGCUGAAACUCAAAGGGAUUGGCGGGGGCCCGCACAACCGGUGGAGCGUCGGGUUUAAUCGGAUGCUAACCCUAGAACCUUACCCGGGCUUGACAUGCACGGGGAGCCACCCGAAAGGGUGGUGUGCCCACCGUAAGGUGGGACCCGUGCACAGGUGGUGCAUGGCCGUCGUCAGCUCGUGCCGUGAGGUGUUGGGUUAAGUCCCGCAACGAGCGCAACCCCUGCCCCUAGUUGCUACCCCGCAAGGGGAGCACUCUAGGGGGACCGCCGGCGAUAAGCCGGAGGAAGGGGGGGAUGACGUCAGGUCGGCAUGCCCUAUAUGCCCGGGGCUACACCGGCGCUACAGUGCCCGGGACAGUGGGUUGCGACCCCGCAAGGGGGAGCUAAUCCUUAAACCCGGGCGAGGUGCGGAUCGGGGGCUGCAACUCGCCCCCGUGAAGCCGGAAUCGGUAGUAACGGCGUAUCAGCAAUGUCGCCGUGAAUACGUUCUCGGGCCUUGCACACACCGCCCGUCACGCCACGGAAGUCGGCCGUGUCGGAAGUCCCCGAGCUAACCGGCCCCCCUUCGGGGGGCCGGGGGCAGGGGCCGAUGACACGGCCGGCGACUGGGGCGAAGUCGUAACAAGGUAGCCGUAGGGGAACCUGCGGCUG
rnacentral:rRNA from 1 species